CCAAAGAGCUUCCCGAAAUCAGCCACUGUGCAGGGCCGGAGGAGGAACUGUCAAUCUCUAUCUCUUUAUUUUGGACAGUAUUCAGCACUGAAAAAAAAAGCCCUUCUUUGGGUUAUUUCAAAUCCCUUAUAGACACUCCUGCAACCUGGCUGAGGUGGGGCUCUAAAGAAAGCAUUUCCUUUUCACAAUCAUUCCCCCUGUCCUGUGUUGACAUCUCCCUGUUGCUUAAAAGCGCUCCAAUCUGAAAUCAGUAAGAUGUAUUUAUUGUAUAUUCUGUGAUUGCUGUUUGCAAGAAAUCACACAAAAUGGUUAAAGCUAGAGUAUAGAGCGACACACACCAUACUCAAUGGCCGUAGUUCUUAUGGUUUUAUAGUCAGUAUCAAUCCAAGUAGGCAGAUGAAAAAAUUUAUAUACUUCGGUCAAAUGUCUGCACCUGUUUAUCCCAAUUAUGGUUCAACUGAAAUUUAAUAGCAACUCAAUAAAAGAUUGCUUUAUUCAUUUAAAAAAAAAAAGUAAAUGGUCCUAAAGUUGCAGUGUACAAAAGAAUCACUUUGGGAUAUUCAUGGUAGCACUGAAGUAAUACCACAAUAACUAGAAACAACACGAAUGUCCAUGAAUAAGGGAAUGAGGAAAUUAUGUAUGGUAUAGUCCUGUAAUGGAAUAUUAUGCAGCCAUGAAAGUGAGUGAACUAUGAAAGAACCUGGAUAAUCUCAUAAACACAGUUUUGAAAGAAAACUGCAAGUUUCAGAAGAUUACUUUCAGAAUGACACCACUGUUUCAGAGCUCAGAACCAAGCAAAACUUGGCAAUGGAUUCUUAGAUAUGACACCAAAAUUACAAGCAGCGAAAGAAAA